rnacentral:rRNA from 1 species
UACGGAGGGUGCGAGCGUUGUCCGGAAUCACUGGGCGUAAAGGGCGCGUAGGUGGCGCGGUCAGUCAACGGUGAAAGUUCGGGGCUCAACCCUGAAUCGGCCGUCGAUACUCCCGUGCUUGAGCACUGUAGAGGCAGAUGGAAUUCCGGGUGUAGCGGUGGAAUGCGUAGAGAUCCGGAAGAACACCGGUGGCGAAGGCGGUCUGCUGGGCAGUAGCUGACACUGAGGCGCGAAAGCGUGGGGAGCAAACAGG